UGCGAGCGUUAAUCGGAAUUACUGGGCGUAAAGCGUGCGUAGACGGUUAUUUAAGUCGGAUGUGAAAGCCCCGGGCUCAACCUGGGAAUUGCAUUCGAGACUGAAUAGCUAGGGUACGGUAGAGGGAAGCGGAAUUUCCGGUGUAGCGGUGAAAUGCGUAGAUAUCGGAAGGAACACCUGCGGCGAAGGCGGGUUGCUGGGCUGACACUGACGCUGAUGCGCGAAAGCUAGGGGAGCGAACGGG
rnacentral:rRNA from 1 species